rnacentral:rRNA from 1 species
GACGAACGCUGGCGGCGUGCUUAACACAUGCAAGUCGAACGGAAAGGCCCUGCUUUUGUGGGGUGCUCGAGUGGCGAACGGGUGAGUAACACGUGAGUAACCUGCCCUUGACUUUGGGAUAACUUCAGGAAACUGGGGCUAAUACCGGAUAGGAGCUCCUGCUGCAUGGUGGGGGUUGGAAAGUUUCGGCGGUUGGGAUGGUCUCGCGGCUUUUCAGCUUGUUUGUGGGGUAGUGGCAUACCAAGGCUUUGACGGGUAGCCGGCCUGAGAGGGUGACCGGGCACAUGGGGACUGAGAUACGGACCAGACUCCUACGGGAGGCAGCAGUGGGGAAUAUUGCACAAUGGGCGGAAGCCUGAUGCAGCAACGCCGCGUGCGGGAUGACGGCCUUCGGGUUGUAAACCGCUUUCGCCUGUGACGAAGCGUGAGUGACGGUAAUGGGUAAAGAAGCACCGGCUAACUACGUG